AUUGAACGCUGGCGGCAGGCCUAACACAUGCAAGUCGAGCGGACGAAGGGAGCUUGCUCCUGGAUUCAGCGGCGGACGGGUGAGUAAUGCCUAGGAAUCUGCCUGGUAGUGGGGGAUAACGUCCGGAAACGGGCGCUAAUACCGCAUACGUCCUGAUGGAGAAAGUGGGGGAUCUUCGGACCUCACGCUAUCAGAUGAGCCUAGGUCGGAUUAGCUAGUUGGUGGGGUAAAGGCCUACCAAGGCGACGAUCCGUAACUGGUCUGAGAGGAUGAUCAGUCACACUGGAACUGAGACACGGUCCAGACUCCUACGGGAGGCAGCAGUGGGGAAUAUUGGACAAUGGGCGAAAGCCUGAUCCAGCCAUGCCGCGUGUGUGAAGAAGGUCUUCGGAUUGUAAAGCUCUUUAAGUUGGGAGGAAGGGCAGUAAGUUAAUACCUUGCUGUUUUGACGUUACCAACAGAAUAAGCACCGGCUAACUUCGUG
rnacentral:rRNA from 1 species